rnacentral:rRNA from 1 species
UAAGCAUAUCAAUAAGCGGAGGAAAAGAAACCAACAGGGAUUGCCCUAGUAACGGCGAGUGAAGCGGCAACAGCUCAAAUUUGAAAUCUGGCGCAAGCCCGAGUUGUAAUUUGUAGAGGAUGCUUCUGGGCAGCGGCCGGUCUAAGUUCCUUGGAACAGGACGUCAUAGAGGGUGAGAAUCCCGUAUGCGACCGGUUGGCACCCGUCACGUAGCUCCUUCGACGAGUCGAGUUGUUUGGGAAUGCAGCUCUAAAUGGGUGGUAAAUGUCAUCUAAAGCUAAAUACCGGCCAGAGACCGAUAGCGCACAAGUAGAGUGAUCGAAAGAUGAAAAGCACUUUGGAAAGAGAGUUAAAAAGCACGUGAAAUUGUUGAAAGGGAAGGGCAGGCAACCAGACUUGUCGGCGGUGUUCCGCCGGUCUUUUGACCGGUCUACUCGCCGCCGGCAGGCCAGCAUCAUCUGGGUGCGCCGGAUAAAGGCGCGGGGAAUGUAGCUCCUCGGAGUGUUAUAGCCCCGCGCACAAUACGGCGCCGCCCGGGUGAGGUCCGCGCUUCGGCUAGGAUGCUGGCGUAAUGGUCGUCUGCCGCCCGUCUUGAAACACGGACCAAGGAGUCUAACAUCUAUGCGAGUGUUCGGGUGUCAAACCCCUACGCGUAAUGAAAGUGAACGGAGGUGGGAGCUUCGGCGCACCAUCGACCGAUCCUGAUGUCCUCGGAUGGAUUUGAGUAAGAGCAUAGCUGUUGGGACCCGAAAGAUGGUGAACUAUGCCUGAAUAGGGUGAAGCCAGAGGAAACUCUGGUGGAGGCUCGCAGCGGUUCUGACGUGCAAAUCGAUCGUCAAAUUUGGGUAUAGGGGCGAAAGACUAAUCGAACCAUCUAGUAGCUGGUUCCUGCCGAAGU